rnacentral:snoRNA from 1 species
GCAACUUCUACCCAUUGGUUGGUCAAAAAAAGAAUCCAUUUUGAGCCGACUAAGAUUCAAAGUUUGCUAGAAUAAUUACGUGACUUACCGUGUGGAUGCAGCACAAAUUCUCAUUCACAAAAGUAGAAGCGUUACAAUC